rnacentral:rRNA from 1 species
AACGAACGCUGGCGGUAUGCCUAACACAUGCAAGUCGAACGAGACCACCGGGUCUAGUGGCGCACGGGUGUGUAACGCGUGGGAAGCUUCCCUUAGGUUCGGAAUAACUCCCCGAAAGGGGUGCUAAUAUCGGAUAACGUCUUCGAACCAAAGAUUUAUCGCCUUGGGAUGGGCGCGCGUUGCAUUAGCUUGUUGGUAGGGUAAAAGCCUACCACGGGGACGAUCCAUAGCUGGUCACAGAGGAUGAGCAGCGACACUGGGAGUGAGACACGGCCGAGAAUCCUGCGGGAGGCAGGAGAGGGGAAUAUAGGAAAAUGGCGGAAGGGAUGAAGCAGCAAGGCCGGGUAAGUGAUGUAGUCGUGAGGGAAGUAAAGCUCUUUAACCCGGGAUGGUAAUGACGGUACCGGGAGAAUAAGCACCGGCUAACUCCGUG